CGUUAUUGGCUGACACACAUUUCCACAACAUAACGCUGGAGGAAUCUGAUAUUACUGACACUUAAUUUCACUGCAGGAAUUCUUGGACUACGACGAAGGAAGCUAUUACCUAGAAGUAAUCCCCAGAAAGCCGUAGUACAAGUUAACUGUUGGUGAUUCUCCUCACGUCGGUCGAAGGCUGAGUGGCGUUAUCCGACUUGUAUGUUCAGUAUCUCAGGUAGCCGAGCGUGGCUUGUCGAUCUCGAGGCUAUGGACAGCGGUACAUCUCACAUAUCCCCUGGAUUUCACAUGCAUCUGAUCGACUUCACGAUAAUCCUUUAGCAGGCUGUACGAUAGGUGUCGUACACGUUAGGCACAGAUGUAGCAGCGGCUGACUGUCUCUAAGACGGGACAAUGCUGGGCGUGGGGGUUCCUUGUUUGGUGGUAGUUUUCCUUCCAACUGUCUUGUCAACGUUUGGGACAGAAGAGAAGAAUUCCUUGGAUGAGUUCAUCCAAACAGUGAUGAAAUGUCGUAACGUAACCGGCGUCAGUAUUGCGUUGGUCAAAAAGCGGCACAUCGUCCACACGGCAGGCUAUGGUGUCGCCAACGUUGUUACGGGUGCUCGGAUGACGGACCAAACGCUUAUCAACAUGGCAUCUAUUACGAAGUCGUUUACAGCAACACUGGCGGCCGACGCCGUGGCGAAGGGACUGACGGAUUGGGAGACGCCCAUACGGAAGUUGUUAGGUCCGAGGUUCAAACUCCAGAAUGAAUUCCGCACCAAGCGAACGUCCCUGAAGGACCUAUUGUCCCAUCGCCUGGGUAUGCCGUCGUAUUACGGCCUGAGCCAAGCAGUCCUGAACCUGACGAUAGAACAGUUGGCCCAUCGCCUGCAGUAUUUUCCGGUGUUGUACCAGUUCCGUAGUCGCUAUAUCUACAGCAACUUCCUGUACGUCUUGGCAGGGUUGGUGCUGCAGCGGGCGACGGGGACGAUGUGGGGAGACGCCAUCGUCAACAACAUCUUCAAGCCUCUAGGGAUGGACAACAGUCGCGUGGUGUCCCAGCUCUCUGACACCGACGUCAGGGACAUGGCCUACUCCUGCACCAUCGUCAACAACACCUGUCUCCACAAUGAGGAACGACUCCUACUGCCAGUGAUCCGACAAGCCCAUGCAGCUGCUGGGGUGUUCAGCACGGCCAGGGACAUGGCCAAGUGGCUCCAGUUUCACCUCAAAGGGGGAAAGAAUGCCAAAGGGUACCAGAUCUUGAACCGCACUGCUUUGAAGGAGACAUACAGGCCUCAUAUCGUCCUCGAGAGGUCAGGCAUCACGCGGGCCCGAUUUCCGGUCGUCAACCUCGACUUCACAUACGCCCUCGGCUGGAUGAACGGAGUUUACAGAGGUUACAAGAAGUUGAGUCACACGGGAGCGUUCAGCGGAUACCGCCUGAUGCAGACGCUGCUCCCCGAGGAGGGAGUCGGGGUGUGGGUGGCCAUCACGAGCUUCGCGCCCAGUCAGCAGACAAUUAUCAGGGACAUCAUCACCAUGUACAGCCUUGACCUCAUGCUGGGCAAAGACCAGUGGCUCGGGACGGCAACCGCCUGCAUGUACCCAGAACCUUGGGGAAGAGCUCCUCUCAAAGAGAAGAUAACUCGUGCUCCACAUCCGGCUGUCAAUCAAGAUCCAAACUUCAUCAACAAGACAGAAUAUGUGGGCAAAUAUUUUCAUAAAGCGUUUGGGAAGUUUGAAAUAAUUAUCAAAAACGAAACACUUCGUUUCACAUUCGGCCUGUUACUUAGAGGAACACUGCAGCCGUCGACGUCACGUGAUGUGAUGUAUCAGCAGCCGGAGGCGCCGUAUAACCAUUUACCACGUGACGUUGUCCACUUCAGCAAGCCGCUGUACUUUCUCAGACACCAUAAUGGAUCCGUCGCUGCUCUCAAAGUUCCCUUCCUCGAACCCUCCAUACCGCCGGUGUUCGUUAAAGAUGACCCGGAAGCAGUUGGUUUUCUAGAAGAAUCAAUGAACAUUAUUACGCCAAGUCACAUCACAUCCGGAACUACUUUCACCAACAGCUGCUUCAUUCUAGUUAUUGUUUCAGCCAUGUCCCUGUUCUUAAUACAUCAGCAGUAACUCGGUUAUCCAGCGUAAUAUGUCAAUAUUCUAUGAAGAAUUAUAAGCAGGAACACGUCGACAUCUGAUAGGUCUCGGAGUGAUUUCUAAUAGUAUUUGAGACAGAACCAAACGCCCUUUUAUGUAAUUGAGAAGUCAUUGCUUGUUUAAUUAGUGAGAAAACAGUGUUAUUUGAUUUAAGAGGGUGGACUUUCAUAAGUCGAUACAUAAUACGCUGGGUAAUCGAGGCUGGUGCUGUCGUUAAUAGACUACCAUUUAUACUUAGCGUCAUUCUUGGAGAGGCACUUGGUGUGUAGGGCUUGAGACAUUAACAUAUUCCAAUGAGGCCCAAGUAGGUCUGAGCAUUUUAACAAUGUGAAACAGUUGAACAACAUCUUGUUAUUGCCUGUGUCGCGAUGACUGGAUACUAUUAUUAAACUUAAAACAUGGACCAGCUUACUAAACCAAUGAAAAGUGCAAAAUUUAUGAUUAUUGAAAAAAACACAAAACACACGCCUGAACACAACCCGUACGAGACAAAUAACAAUAAACGUGUGUUUUUAAUGCAGUUCUCAUUUGAGAGUCCCCUCAAUAAUGACGCUAAGUAUACUCUGUAUAUAUUCCUGUCAAUGCAUGUGUUUGGCUUACAGCGGUACUAAUGGGAUAUUCACACACCCAUGCUUCAGUGCAUGUCAUUUGUGCAGCUGUUCGUAUUCAGUACAUUAUAAUGACAAUCGUUGUUUCUUAAAUAUAUUUAUACAAAUAUUGUAAUCAGUAUUUUGCUACUUUACUCAAUUUUUCAACAAAUGUUCGUUCGUGUUUGCCCUGCAAGGCUGGGCUUGCCGUGGGUUCGAAUCCCGGUUUCGCCCAAUUUAUAAUCCUAAUUGCGCGUGGGUGUUCAGUAUCGUGGUAGACGUCGUUGCCUAGCCCACGUUGAGCUUUCCUGAAGAAGGUCCUUAUGCCGUGAUAUAACUGAAAUAUUGUUCGAUGCUAAGUAAAACCGACCCUCAUUGUACAUAUGUGUCUCGUUGUUAACCUGUUGUGUGUCUCAGUGUAUGUGUAUAGCUGUGGUGUAUUCUGAACAUAUACUUCAAUCAUUGUCCAUAUACUAGUAUAGCCGUGAACCUAGAUAUCUGCUGUAGCUCACCUCGACAGACAGUCCGGCCCUGCCAUGGGUUUUCCUACAGGGGUUCGAAUCAUUGUUUGGACAAUAAUUUGAAAAUAUAAUAAUUUGGACUUUUGCAAUCAUAUAUUAUUUUUAUAUGUUAUGAGUAACAUAUAUUUCCAAUUUGACCGAAAUUGGUACAGAAAUAAAGAUUUUAGAAAAUUCGCUCAUUGUAUUUUAAUAAUGUAAUGAGUGAAGCGGUUGAAUUUUCUAAAAUCUUCGUUUCUUCGCCGAUUUCUGUAAAAUUUGAAAUCUAUGUUAAUCAUAACAUAUAAAAACAAUACAUGAUUGCAAAAGUCUAGAUUGUUAUUUUUUUUAAAUUAUUGUCCUAACAGUGAUUCGAACUUUUGGGCUUUGUCCCUACCCGGUCUUGUGAAUGUGGAAGUUCGUCACGUGUGGUCAAGUCACGCACGAUAGAUAUGAUAUGCUAUAAUUACAUGAAGUAAUACGGAUAAUAUUUUCAGUAAUCUAAAUCACAAGAUGAUCUCCUUGAUGUCGCUGCCGCCCCCUAACCCCCACCCUCGCCAUUUCCAAGUGUAUGUGUUGUACCUUUUCCAUAUUCAAACUAUACGCACACGCAUGUGAAACGUACAUCGUGUUUGCCGUCUUUGAUUGUCGGGGUUUCUGCCCAUCAGUAGCAGUACCUGGAGUGCUAUACAGUUAUAUGUACAUCCGUCUCGCUAGAAAAGCACUGAUACGUCUUAUUGAGCAUAUAUCAGUAAGAUAAUUCAUUUGUGAUACAGUUCAUACCCCUUCCAGGUGAUCUGGACUGAUGCUUCUAGAUUGGUAUCAAAGUCAUUUACGCAGGUGUCUAGCGUGUCCUAGGUCGGUGUCUAGAGCCGUGGUGUCUAGCGUGUCCUAGGUCGGUGUCUAGAGCCGGGGUGUCUGAUGCACGGUGCGUCCUGGACUGGUGUCUGGAGGUGUCUAGAACCUCCCAGAUUGGUGUCUAUCGCGGCCUGACUUGUGUCUGGUGUGUCCCAGAUCGAUGUCGAGAACCUACAUAUAUAUAUAUGCCUGUUACAUCCUAGACUGGUGUUCCCCAGAUUGAAGUCUGUUUCAUCCUAGACUGGUGUUCCCCAGAUUGAAGUCUGUUUCAUCCUAGACUGGUGUUCCCC
rnacentral:misc_RNA from 1 species